ACUCUGAACUUCUGGGGUAACUUUGAGCAGGGGAUGAAUUGUAUUUCAUACCCUGCUCUAGUGUCCCCAGUGGGGCAGAGUA
ensembl:miRNA